rnacentral:rRNA from 1 species
GACGAACGCUGGCGGCGUGCUUAACACAUGCAAGUCGAACGGAAAGGCCCUGCUUUUGUGGGGUGCUCGAGUGGCGAACGGGUGAGUAACACGUGAGUAACCUGCCCUUGACUUUGGGAUAACUUCAGGAAACUGGGGCUAAUACCGGAUAGGAGCUCCUGCUGCAUGGUGGGGGUUGGAAAGUUUCGGCGGUUGGGGAUGGACUCGCGGCUUAUCAGCUUGUUGGUGGGGUAGUGGCUUACCAAGGCUUUGACGGGUAGCCGGCCUGAGCGGGUGACCGGCCACAUUGGGACUGAGAUGCGGCCCAGACUCCUACGGGAGGCAGCAGUGGGGAAUAUUGCACAAUGGGCGGAAGCCUGAUGCAGCAACGCCGCGUGCGGGAUGACGGCCUUCGUGUUGUAAACCGCUUUCGCCUGUGACGAAGCGUGAGUGACGGUAAUGGGUAAAGAAGCACCGGCUAACUACGUG